rnacentral:rRNA from 1 species
GCGCAGCAGGCGCGAAAACUUCACACUGUGCGAAAGCACGAUGAGGGAAUCCCAAGUGCUUGCACGUAAGUGUAAGCUGUUUCUCUGUCUAAAACGCAGAGAGAGUAAGGGCUGGGUAAGACGGGUGCCAGCCGCCGCGGUAAUACCUGCAGCUCAAGUGGUGACCGUUAUUAUUGGGCCUAAAACGUCCGUAGCCGGUUUAAUAAAUGCCUGGGUAAAUUGUGUAGCUUAACUAUACGAAUUCCGGGUAGACUGUUAAACUUGAGACCGGGAGAAGUUAGAGGUACUCCUGGGGUAGAGGUGAAAUUCUGUAAUCCUAGGGGACCACCACGUGGCGAAGGACGUCUAACUAGAACGGGUACGUGUACGGUGGAGGGACGGAAGACCCGUCGGGGCGGCG